UAGGGAAUCUUCCACAAUGGCGCAAGCCUGAUGGAGCAACACCGCGUGAGUGAAGAAGGGUUUCGGCUCGUAAAGCUCUGUUGUUAAAGAAGAACACGUAUGAGAGUAACUGUUCAUACGUUGACGGUAUUUAACCAGAAAGUCACGGCUAACUACGUGCCA
rnacentral:rRNA from 1 species